ensembl:lncRNA
CCAAGGGUGUACACCGCUGUUUUUUUUUCCCCCCGAGCUUUGGAUAUAUGCAGAAUGGACCUUUACACCAAAGGAAAAAACAUUCCAUGAUGACUCACUUCAAAGCUUAGGAGGCCAGGGUUCUUAACCUCUGCCCUGGGGCAGACCCGAUAAAGAUGUCUAAUGAGCAAUAAACCAGGGCCCUGGGGGGGCUGGCUGUGCCAUCACUGGGAUCUUUACUGGUUCUCAUUUACGGCCGGACCAUCACACACUUAACUGUAAAAUUUGCGAGCACAAUUAGAACCGGUGGGUCACAGGGAGAGAUGAGUCUAGGCCCGGCAGGAAAGCUCUGGGAGGCCUGAACGCACUUAGGAGAGGUGGGGAGAAGGAAGCCCCACCCCGGAAAUGACGUUCACAGCGGAGGCAAUUGAACCUCGGAGCUCAACUCUACACAUGCACAGCGCAAGAAUGGUGCCUUCCCAUGAAGUCCUGAGGCUGUCUCUGCAUGGUGCCACCAUGACUUUAACACCUAUUCUACCUGCUAUCCUAAAAGUGAAAAGUUUGAACAGAAAAUGAUGGUACAGGGGUUAUGUGGAAAUGGCAAAAGGGAAAGUGGAAAGAACAUGGCAUUGGAUUCAACAACAGGCAAAUGCAGCUUCUGGUGCUUCCUCUCCAUCUUCCUGCCUGGAACAAAGAUGUGAUGCCUGGAGCCAAGGCAACCAUUUUGGGACCAUGGGCUCACAAGUGAUACUUUAAGUGACAUGAAAAAGACCUUAAUGACAUAGCUGAGCCACUGCACUAACUGAACUAUUCUCCUCUGGAUUUUUGUUGUUGUUACUGUUAUGUGAAAAGUAAUGAUGUACUGUUUAAGCCAUUGUUCAUUAAAGUUUCUGUUACACGAAGGCAAAAGCGUUCCUAACGGACACAGAGAAUUUGGUACAAAUUGGCUAAGCAGACAAAUGUCUUCUAAGUAAACAUAGUGAAUGCAGUCGUGCUUUUGACAAGCCACUUCACCCCUGAAAGCUCGGUUUCUUCACAGGUGAAUUAAGUUCAGUGAUACUUACCUCAAAGGAUUCUGAGGAUUAAAGGAGAUGGUGCGUGUAAAACACCAUCAGUAUACUUGGCACAUACAUAGCAGGUUUCUGCAAAUGCAUGGUAAAUAAUGAGCAAAUAAACAAACAGA